GAUGAACGCUAGCGGCAGGCUUAAUACAUGCAAGUCGAGGGGCAGCAGUUUUGUAGCAAUACAGAAGCUGGCGACCGGCAAACGGGUGCGGAACACGUACGCAACCUUCCUUUAACUGGAAGAUAGCCCACCGAAAGGUGGAUUAAUACUCCAUAACAUAUUGAAGAGGCAUCUCUUUGAUAUUAAAGCUCCGGCGGUUAAAGAUGGGCGUGCGCCUGAUUAGGUAGUUGGCGGGGUAACGGCCCACCAAGCCUUCGAUCAGUAGCUGAUGUGAGAGCAUGAUCAGCCACACGGGCACUGAGACACGGGCCCGACUCCUACGGGAGGCAGCAGUAAGGAAUAUUGGUCAAUGGACGCAAGUCUGAACCAGCCAUGCCGCGUGGAGGAUGAAGGCCCUCUGGGUUGUAAACUUCUUUUCUUUGGGACGAAACCCCUGUUUCUACGGGGACUGACGGUACCAGAGGAAUAAGCACCGGCUAACUCCGUGCCAGCAGCCGCCGUAAAAC
rnacentral:rRNA from 1 species